rnacentral:rRNA from 1 species
CCUACGGGAGGCAGCAGUGGGGAAUAUUGCACAAUGGGGGAAACCCUGAUGCAGCGACGCCGCGUGAGUGAUGAAGUUUUUCUGUAUGUAAAGCUCUGUCAUCAGGGACGAUAAUUACGGUACCUGCCUAAUCCGCUCCGGCUCAAUACGUUCCAGCCGACGCGGUAAUACGUAGGGAGCAAGCGUUAUCCGGAUUGACUGGGGGUAACGGGAGCGCAGACGGCAGGGCAAGUCUGAUGUGAAAGUCCGGGGCUCAACCCCGGGACUGCAUUGGAAACUGUCCGGCUAGAGUGCAGGAGAGGUAAGUGGAAUUCCUAGUGUAGCGGUGAAAUGCGUAGAUAUUAGGAGGAACACCAGUGGCGAAGGCGGCUUACUGGACUGUAACUGACGUUGAGGCUCGAAAGCGUGGGGAGCAAACAGGAUUAGAUACCCGGGUAGUC